UGACCUCAAAUCGGGUGGGACUACCCGCUGAACUUAAGCAUAUCAAUAAGCGGAGGAAAAGAAACUAACAAGGAUUCCCCUAGUAACUGCGAGUGAAGCGGGAAAAGCUCAAAUUUAAAAUCUGGCGGUCUUUGGCCGUCCGAGUUGUAGUCUGGAGAAGUGCUUUCCGCGCUGGACCGUGUAUAAGUCUCCUGGAACGGAGCGUCAUAGAGGGUGAGAAUCCCGUCUUUGACACGGACUACCAGUGCUCUGUGAUGCGCUCUCAAAGAGUCGAGUUGUUUGGGAAUGCAGCUCAAAAUGGGUGGUGAAUUCCAUCUAAAGCUAAAUAUUGGCGAGAGACCGAUAGCGAACAAGUACCGUGAGGGAA
rnacentral:rRNA from 1 species